rnacentral:rRNA from 1 species
AGCGAACGCUGGCGGCAGGCCUAACACAUGCAAGUCGAACGAACCCUUCGGGGUUAGUGGCGGACGGGUGAGUAACACGUGGGACGUGCCUUUAGGUUCGGAAUAACUCAGGGAAACUUGUGCUAAUACCGAAUGUGCCCUUCGGGGGAAGGAUUUAUCGCCUUUAGAGCGGCCCGCGUCUGAUUAGCUAGUUGGUGAGGUAAUGGCUCACCAAGGCUACGAUCAGUAGCUGGUCUGAGAGGAUGACCAGCCACAUUGGGACUGAGACACGGCCCAAACUCCUACGGGAGGCAGCAGUGGGGAAUCUUGCGCAAUGGGCGAAAGCCUGACGCAGCCAUGCCGCGUGGAUGAUGAAGGUCUUAGGAUUGUAAAAUCCUUUCACCGGUGAAGAUAAUGACUGUAGCCGGAGAAGAAGCCCCGGCUAACUUCGUGCCAGCCGCCGCUGUAACAC